CCGGGUGUGGCGCAGUUUGGUAGCGCGCUUGAAUGGGGUUCAAGAGGCCCAGAGUUCGAAUCUCUGCACUCGGACCA
rnacentral:tRNA from 1 species